AAAUGAAAAUCUGUUUGACCAGGGUUUUGAAAGAGUGAAUGAAGAGAUGCCUGACAUAUGUAUUGACGUUCCAGCUGCCUAUUGUAUUUUAGAAAAUUUUGUCAGCAAGUGUCAUGCUGCAAACUUCAUCAAUGAAGAGCUAAUUAAAAAGUUGCCUAGCAGAGGCCGGAAAAGAUUUGUCUCGGAUGGUGACGGUGGCUGUGUGAAGGAAGCUGUGUAGUGUAGUAAGUCAAAAUGACAAUUGGAACUGGAUGAUGUAUAUUACAAAACAAAACAAAAAUUAUUUCCUUGGUACAUAAUUAUGGGAAUUGUUUUUGGGUUUCUGAUAUUUUCCUUUAUAAUUUACAGUCACAGAUUAGUGUCAGUAAGAAUAUUAUUUAAUUUUUAGAUGUAUUUCUCAAAAUGAAAUCUUAAACUCAAUUUAAUUAAAAGAUCUAAUGAAAUAAAAUAUUUCAUAUAGUACUAUAAUAGCAAAAUAGUAGAUAAACAAAUAAAUCACAUUUUUAUUUUAUAAAUAUAUUCUUACUGGAUUUGUUGUAGCCAUUUAUAGUUCAGAGAUAUGUACAUUCUUUAAUAUUUUCAUAAUUUGUCAAGAGAAUCACUAGACUUUAUAGUAAAAAUUAUUUCCCCAGAAAGAAAAAUAGUAUUAUUUGCAUUUUUUGAAAUAUCUUGGAUACUAUCAAUGUUUUGUACAUAACUAUAUUGGUGAGUGGACCAGUUUAAUGUUUUUUUGCUUUGUUAGUAAGGUUUAUCUUUUACUAAAAAGUUUGUGCAUUUAAAAUGCACUUUUUAUUGAAACGGGGAAGGUUUCAGCAAAUAUUAGGUUAAACUACAAGAAUUUACAUGCUUUAUUUUCUCGGGGUGCUGCUUUUGUUUUUCAUCUUUAUAAUAAUUUGUUGAAAUGAAAUCAUUUUAACUCCAGAAAA